CCAAUGAUUGGGAACCAGUUGAGGUUGAUAGAUCUCCUGGUUGCUAAAAUCAAAUACCCAUCUUUGUGCACCUUUUUUAUGUCUCUGGUGGUCGCAAGAGAAGUCUCUUAUUUGGAGGAUCUCUUCUAGUUCAUUUUGAUCCUCGGACAAAUGAAUGAAGCCACCAAAUGGUUGCUAUAACACACCUUUUUUGCCGUCCAAAAUAUCUGUCUAACAUUGAUUUGUGUAAAAUACAUAAAA
rnacentral:misc_RNA from 1 species